CUCUGAUCAACGUAGAUCCGUACCUGCUGUAAGUACUAUAGAAAAAUAUUUUCGGGAAAGAGAAUCGCGAAUUCUAAAAGGUGCUUGGUGGAGGAAGGGGCGAAUGGCGGAGGAUUGAUAUGCAGAAGCUAUGGAGGAAGAUUCGGAAGAGAUAUAGAUUGAACCAGAAUACUUAAGAGCAGAAACUUGCAAGGCUCAUGGAUUGGAAUGAAGUCUCAAACCAAACCUUACAUCAAAUACCAAAAUAGAGGAUGUUCUCGAAUGUUGGAUUUGUAAGCCAAAAAUUAUGUGGGAGGCUUGAGGAAUUAGACUUUUAAAGAUUUUGAUUUGAUCUCUUCUACUGUUCUGCAAACAAGCAGAUUAUUUCCUUUUGGAAAGACAGAUGCAAUGAAGUUCAAAAGUCUGGUACAUAUGAUAUAUAUGCUCAUUAAGUAUUGACAAGUUAGGUUCUAAUUUUGGA